rnacentral:rRNA from 1 species
UACGUAGGGGGCAAGCGUUGUCCGGAAUCAUUGGGCGUAAAGCGCGUGUAGGCGGCUCGGUAAGUCUGCUGUGAAAGUCCAGGGCUCAACCCUGGGAUGCCGGUGGAUACUGUCGAGCUCGAGUCCGGAAGAGGCGAGUGGAAUUCCUGGUGUAGCGGUGAAAUGCGCAGAUAUCGAGAGGAACACCUGCGGCGAAGGCGGGUGGCUGGGCUGACACUGACGCUGAGGCGCGAAAGCUAGGGGAGCGAACGGG